GGCGGACGGGUGAGUAAUGUCUGGGAAACUGCCUGAUGGAGGGGGAUAACUACUGGAAACGGUAGCUAAUACCGCAUAACGUCGCAAGACCAAAGUGGGGGACCUUCGGGCCUCAUGCCAUCAGAUGUGCCCAGAUGGGAUUAGCUAGUAGGUGGGGUAACGGCUCACCUAGGCGACGAUCCCUAGCUGGUCUGAGAGGAUGACCAGCCACACUGGAACUGAGACACGGUCCAGACUCCUACGGGAGGCAGCAGUGGGGAAUAUUGCACAAUGGGCGCAAGCCUGAUGCAGCCAUGCCGCGUGUGUGAAGAAGGCCUUCGGGUUGUAAAGCACUUUCAGCGGGGAGGAAGGCGGAUGAGGUUAAUAACCUCGUCGAUUGACGUUACCCGCAGAAGAAGCACCGGCUAACUCCGUGCCAGCAGCCGCGGUAAUACGGAGGGUGCAAGCGUUAAUCGGAAUUACUGGGCGUAAAGCGCACGCAGGCGGUCUGUCAAGUCGGAUGUGAAAUCCCCGGGCUCAACCUGGGAACUGCAUUCGAAACUGGCAGGCUAGAGUCUUGUAGAGGGGGGUAGAAUUCCAGGUGUAGCGGUGAAAUGCGUAUAGAUCUGGAGGAAUACCGGUGGCGAAUGCGGCCCCCUGGACAAAGACUGACGCUCAAGUGCGAAAGCGUGGGGUGCACACGGGAUCAGAUACCCUGGUAGUCCACGCUGUAAACGAUGUCGAUUUGGACGUUGUGCCCUUGAGGCGUGGCUUCCGGAGCUAACGCGUUAAAUCGACCGCCUGGGGAGUACGGCCGCAAGGUUAAAACUCAAAUGAAUUGACGGGGGCCCGCACAAGCGGUGGAGCAUGUGGUUUAAUUCGAUGCAACGCGAAGAACCUUACCUGGUCUUGACAUCCACAGAACUUAGCAGAGAUGCUUUGGUGCCUUCGGGAACUGUGAGACAGGUGCUGCAUGGCUGUCGUCAGCUCGUGUUGUGAAAUGUUGGGUUAAGUCCCGCAACGAGCGCAACCCUUAUCCUUUGUUGCCAGCGGUCCGGCCGGGAACUCAAAGGAGACUGCCAGUGAUAAACUGGAGGAAGGUGGGGAUGACGUCAAGUCAUCAUGGCCCUUACGACCAGGGCUACACACGUGCUACAAUGGCAUAUACAAAGAGAAGCGACCUCGCGAGAGCAAGCGGACCUCAUAAAGUAUGUCGUAGUCCGGAUUGGAGUCUGCAACUCGACUCCAUGAAGUCGGAAUCGCUAGUAA
rnacentral:rRNA from 1 species